UGUUUACGGUCCUCUGUGAGCCCAUGUGUCCGGAAGUGUUCCUGUUUGCUCUGCUUCUGCUUUCUGACUGAAAACCCUCCAGAGGAGAAGCUGAGGAGUUUCAAACUUCGUCCCUGCUGGUGUGAGGAGGGGAUCAGCUGGGUGACCCGAGGGGACAUACACCAUGGGCCUCCUCGCGAGGAUCCGGAAAGAGUGGUUCAUCAUCGGGAUCGUGCUGGUCAUCUUAUCCGCCAAAGUGCAUCCCAGCGUCGGUGUCAAAGGAGGUCCAUUAAAGCCGGAGAUCACCAUCGCCUACAUCGCCGUGUCGCUGAUCUUCUUCAACAGCGGCCUGUCCCUAAAAACAGAGGAGUUAACCAGCGCACUCUUCCACGUGCGUCUUCACCUCCUCGUCCAGUCCUUCACGCUCGUCUUCGUCCCUCUCGCCGUGUGGCUGCUGCUCAGAGUGCUCGCGCUGACCGCCAUCGACCAAUGGCUGCUCAGAGGGCUACAGACGGUGAGCUGCAUGCCCCCGCCGGUCUCGUCCGCUGUCAUCCUCACCAAGGCUGUCGGAGGCAACGAGGCUGCUGCCAUCUUUAACUCUGCGUUUGGAAGCUUCCUGGGAAUCAUCGUGACUCCAGUGCUGCUCCUGCUGUUCCUCGGUUCUUCCUCCUCCGUUCCCUUCUCCUCCAUCUUCUCUCAGCUCUUCAUGACUGUGGUGGUCCCCCUCAUCCUCGGCCAGGUGUGCAGGAGAUUCCUCAGGGAGUACCUGGAGCGGAGGAAGCCUCCGUUCAGCGCCGUGAGCAGCGCCGUCCUCCUCAUGAUCAUCUACACCACCUUUUGUGACACCUUCAGUAACCCCAACAUCGAGCUGGACCCCACCAGCCUGCUGCUCGUCGUCCUCAUCAUUUUCUCCCUCCAGCUGAGCUUCAUGCUGCUCACCUUUGCCUUUUCCAGCAGGUCGGGCUCAGGAUUCAGCCCUGCAGACACCGUGGCCAUCAUGUUCUGCUCCACACACAAGUCUCUCACUCUGGGCAUCCCCAUGUUGAAGAUUGUAUUCGAGGGCUACGAGCAUCUCUCUCUGAUCUCGGUCCCUCUGUUGAUCUACCACCCGGCUCAGAUCCUGCUGGGCUCCGUCCUCGUACCGACCAUCCGCACCUGGAUGACCAGUCGGCAGAAGCCUAGUCUGUUAUUGAGAUAGGGACACAGUCCAACAGUGCUGCCCUGAGAAGCUGAAUUGAAAUUGUCCCAGUUUAGCUUAGAGGCGGUGAAACUGUCGACUCUUCAGCCCAUCUGACCUGAAAGAAGCGAGACUUUCUGCUCCAGCCUUCGUCCCGUCCCGUCACGGAUGGACUUCGGCGGAGGGAUAAAGUAGUACAUGCCUUAUCACAACACAGACCUCAGCGCGAAGGAGGGUCGGACACCUUCCUGCCGCAGUGAUACUUUCCAUUUCAAAGACAAUGAAAAACUCCAUUGUGUUAAUUCCUUUAUACUUAAAAGAGUUCAGAGUGUAAGAUCUAUUUUUAUAUGAAGUACAAACAGAGAGGACAGGAACAGGAAAGGUGGGACCAUUCUUUUUUACUUUUCUUGCUGUUUUCUACAUUUUUCUACUCUCUCUUUCUUCAGGCUGUUACUGCCAGAAAACAUGGACGCUUGUUGCAGUUUUGAUUCUUACAGAAACAAACUAAUGCUGAGUUAUCUGACUUUAAUACAUCGCGUUAAACGGACGAGUGUUUUCCUUUUUUGGAUAGUUUUAAGUUAAAGAAAUUAUCCAAAUACGGCGGGUGAGAAAUGGAUCUCCAGGAGGAGCGUCUUAUUUAUCAGGAGAGAUGUUUUCAAAUCAACUUCACACUUACUCUUCAUCUUGUUUGAAGCUAUUAUCUAAAUAAGAUAACAUCAUUUUUAUAGCCGACGGUUUCAAUCACUUGGUACUGAGUGUUUGUCUGUUUGUGUUAUGUUUAUGGACCACAUGUGAAACUCUACAAAACAAGGGCAUGACUUUGCUCAGGGGCACUUUGGUAGUAUUUCUAUGAAUUAUUGACUGGUGUCAAUACUUAGCCUUACAUGUUACAGUGUUUUACAUUUACUCUGAUUCACCAGCACUUUUUUGGUUUUUGGGCGAUUUAAGGGCUUCUUUGCUACGUUUCCUGGCACAUCUACGCCAACCCUUCGACAUAUAUUUAAAGGUCCUUUGAUUGUGUUUCUCUUACUUUCCUAAUCGACUGACUGAAUAGAAGCACAAACCAACAGAUGGGCGUUUUCAGUGUUGUGAAAGAGACAGGCACCAUCAUGUUACUCUGUACUGUAUUCCCUGCUCUGUACCUCUGGAUGUACGGAGAAUGCUGCACAAGUCAGUGCCAAUGUUUAGUGCCAGUAGAGGUAGUCGUGUUCCCCUUGAAACAGCCUCAACAUGGGUCAUUAUGGUGCCAUGGUUGGGCUGGUGGAUGGAUAAGGGCCAUCAGUCAGUGACCAGAAACUUUAUAAUCAUAACUGAAGAUUUCAGCCCAAAGUUGUUAAAAAAAAGUGUCGACAUAUCAAAUUUUAAGUUGAAUUUCCAGCCAACACAGGCGAAUUUACACAUCAAACAGUGACCAAGUGUUACUAUCAGGGAUUAAGAGUUCUUCUUUUGUGCAUCUGAUACAUUUAAAUCCAAUAUUCAAUCAAUUUUAGCUCUGUUUUGGUCUCCACCUCCUAUUUAAAGGGAAAAUCUGUCUCUUUAGAUGCUAAAUGCUUCACCAUGUUCACUUCCUGGUCUUUCCUAGUUAGCAAUUUUUUUCGCAGUGGAUUUCUGGAGCUUUUUUUUUUUGGUGGUGGAGACCAAAACUGAUAAAAAAAUUGGUAAAUAUUGGACGUACGUUAACAUUUGAUAAGUUUGAGCUAUGUUUUGGUCUCCACCACUUAUUUAAGUGGGACAUUUGGCUCUGUGGAUGCUACAUUUUUCAAUCAGUUUGAGCUCUGAUUUGGUCUCCACCACCUAUCUAAGGGGAAAAUUUGGCUCUUUAGAUGCUAAAUGUUUCACCAUGUUCACCUGCUAGUUCUUCCUUGUAAGCAAUAUUUUACACAGUGGAUUUCUAGAGCUUUUUUUUUUGUGGUGGAGACCAAAACUGAGCAAAAAUUGAUAAACACUGGACAUACGUUAAAAUUUGAUAAGUUUGAGCUCUGUUUUGGUCUCCACCUUCUUCCUAGGGGGAAAAUCUGGCUCUUAAGAUGCUACACUUUUUACCAUGUUCACCUGCUGGUCUUUCCUAGAAAGCAAUUUUUGCACAGUGGAUUUCUGGAACUUUUUUUUGUGUGGUGGAGACCAAAACUGAGCAAAAAAGUGGUAAAUAUUGGACAUACGUUUAUGGGGUGGCCAGAAACGCAGGUUUUAUGAACCUCUUACAACAUACUGAAACAAAAUUGUGACUUUUUAACUGGUUUGGUCACUAAUUUAAUCAACAGACACAAAAAUGGAUAUUGGACUAUUAGCAACUGUUACAAACUAGAGUCCCCCACUGUUACCCUGAAGGUUAUUGAAGGCUCAAAAGCUUGAAUGUCAUUGGUCAUUUCAUUGGUCAUCCAGUUACAGCUGAGUUUACAGUCAGCCUCUGCCUGUUUACAGUGUGAUUGUACUUUGGUAGAAAGAAAUUGAGGGAGAUAUGUAUGGAUCUUUUUCUUCUUUAUAUUAAAAGAAUAUAAGAGAGCGA